UACAGAGGUCUCAAGCGUUGUUCGGAUUCAUUGGGCGUAAAGGGUGUGUAGGUGGCGCCGUAAGUCGGGUGUGAAAUUUCGGAGCUUAACUCCGAAACUGCAUUCGAUACUGCGGUGCUUGAGGACUGGAGAGGAGACUGGAAUUCAUGGUGUAGCAGUGAAAUGCGUAGAUAUCAUGAGGAAGACCAGUGGCGAAGGCGGAUCUCUGGACAGUUCCUGACACUGAGGCACGAAGGCCAGGGGAGCAAACGGG
rnacentral:rRNA from 1 species